GAUGAAGAACGUAGCGAAAUGCGAUAAGUAAUGUGAAUUGCAGAAUUCAGUGAAUCAUCGAAUCUUUGAACGCACAUUGCGCCCGCCAGUAUUCUGGCGGGCAUGCCUGUUCGAGCGUCAUUACAACCCUCAGGCCCCCGGGCCUGGCGUUGGGGAUCGGCGGAGCCCCCCGUGGGCACACGCCGUCCCCCAAAUGCAGUGGCGGUCCCGCCGCAGCUUCCAUCGCGUAGUAGCUAACACCUCGCGACUGGAGAGCGGCGCGGCCACGCCGUAAAACACCCAACUCUUCUGAAGUUGACCUCGAAUCAGGUAGGAAUACCCGCUGAACUUAAGCAUAUCAUAAGCGGAGGA
rnacentral:misc_RNA from 1 species